GGUCCGUUGUUCAUUUGCCAUUCGACCUCCGCCAGGGCCUGGUCGGACGGAAACGCUCCGCCGGCUUUAUUGUCGGCUCGCUAUGUGGCGGAGCCUGGCGGCUUAGCGCGCUUCUCGCAUCCGCGCCUCGGCAGCCGGCGGCGGCGACACGACUCCCCCUGAGGACGGAGAUCUGUUGGCGGGCCGGUGUGUGCGCGCAGCGCUGAAGCGGGGCAGCGGAGGGGCAACCUCACUCCUCCUCAACUUCGAAGGCCGCACGCGCCCGGCUCGCCGCUCCGCUGCCCGCCCACCGCUCCGCGCGGGACGCUGCCCGGAGCGCGGCGCGGCGCGGGUGGAGAGGACGCGGCUGGGACGGCGGCGGCAGUAGACGCUUGCGGCGGCCCGGGAGCGAGCGGGAGCCGGCGGGAGGCUGACAAUUUCCGGCCAGCGUGGUGGAGGGACACCGCCCUGUUAUAUUUAAGGGGCAAUUCAUGAAGAGCAUGACCAUGCUUCACUAGAAAGAAAAAUGACUCCUGCAGAAAACAACAGUAAAUCAAUCUGGAAAGACCAAGGACCAGAGCAGGAGCAGAUAUCAGAAAGCACAAUGUAUCCUUCAGAAAAUGACAGUAGAGCAAUCCUGAAAGACCAUGGAUCAGAAGAAGUGGAACAGACUUUAGAAACCUUACAAUCUAAGGAAGAAGAUGAAGUGACAGAGGCAGGUAAAGAAGGACACUCAUGGAGUGGUGGGGAAACUUCUGCUCUGUGCUUGGCAGCCACCGGACCUUGAAGGAGCUGGACUUGGGUGGCAGCAUCCUGAGUCAAUGGGCCAUGAGGAUACUGUGCCUUGAGCUGGGGAAUCAGUCCUGCAGAAUACAGAGGAUGACGUAAUUGCCACCCAGCCUGGGGUUUAAGAGUGCAGAGGUAGUGUCUGGCCUGAAACAUCUCUGGAAGCUCCUUUUUAGCAAUCAAAACUUAAAGUACCUCAAUCUAGGGAACACCCCCAUGAAGGAUGAUGACAUGAAGUUAGCCUGCGAAGCGCUGGAACAUCCAAAGUGCGCCCUGGAGGCUCUGAGACUGGACAGCUGUGGCCUCACACCUGCCAGCUGCCACCUUCUGGUCUCAGCCCUUUUCAGCAACCAGAACUUGACACACCUGUGCCUGUCAAACAACAGCCUGGGGACUGAAGGAGUGCAACAGCUGUGUCAGUUCCUGAGGAAUCCAGAAUGUGCUCUCCAGCGGCUGAUACUGAAUCAUUGCAACAUUGUAGAUGAUGCUUAUGGCUUCCUGGCAUUGAGACUUGCAAACAACACAAAGCUGACCCACCUGAGCCUGACCAUGAACCCCGUAGGGGAUGGUGCAAUGAAGCUACUGUGUGAAGCUUUAAAGGAACCUACUUGUUACCUUAAAGAACUGAAACUAGUGGACUGCCAACUUAUGCAGAACUGCUGUGAGGACCUGGCCUGUAUGAUCACAACAACCAAGCACUUAAAAAGUUUGGAUCUUGGUAACAACGCCCUGGGUGACAAAGGAGUCAUAACCCUGUGCGAGGGACUGAAGCAAAGUAGCAGCUCCCUGAGGAGACUUGGGUUGGGGGCAUGUGAGUUGACUUCCAAUUGCUGUGAGUCAUUGUCAUUGGCCAUCUCUUGCAACCCUCACCUGAACAGCCUAAACCUGAUGAAGAAUGACUUCAGUACAUCGGGGAAGUUGAAGCUGUGCUCUGCGUUCCAAUGCCCUGUCUCUAACCUGGGGAUAAUUGGGUCUGGCAACUUGGGCUCACCUGCAUUAACCUUCAUAGCAUUAAGAAGAAACUAAGGGACAGGUAAGCAUUUCCUUGCAUUAUUUCAUCAGACAAAGAGAUAUAUAGAUAGGUAUUUAAUGUAUGCUUCUACCUAACUGAGAUCAGGGGCUGGACUUCUUUCUUUGAGUAUCCACACUGUUGAUGUGACUGGGCAAGUGGGAACCAAUGACUUCUGUUUAAAAGUCUCUUUUCUGUUCCACAUUGUUCACUGUCAUCUAAAGCCAACACUAAUCCUUUUUUUCUUUUGGAACUCCACAGUUCAAUUCGAAUAGGUCAGCCCUUUGUUUUCUUCCAAAAUGUGUUUCAUGUCUUAAUGCUCAGGUGAAACAGCAUUCAAUGUGAUGGCUAUAAUUGUGUUUGUAGACUUCAGUGGAUGGAUUGAAACUGAUUCCUCCUAUGGAAAACAAACACAACCUUUCAAAUCUGAGUUUCAAAAUAAUCUGUGUGUACAUGGGUUAAAGUGUGACAGUGUUAAUGUAUUUCAGAGUAGCUGAGGGAAGCUGAGAAUGAUUCACACACAUCUCCAGCAUCUGAUUCCAUAGUAAAAGAGGCAAGAUGCAUGAAGUUAUGAAUAAAUAACAUUAUUUAGUCCUCAGCAAUGUUUUCAAUAUACAGACUCUAUGUAUAAAUUGAGACUUAUGUAUGGGGUAAGAAUACUAGUGACUCUUGUGAAAUAUUUUAUAUUUUCCCAGUUUGAUUUUCUGAAAAUUUGAUACUUUGUUUUCUUGCUAUUUUAUUCAUUUAUGCAACUUUUUAUUGGUAGCAUAUAAAUAUUUUUUCAUAUAUAAUCAUAUUAUGAGGAAUGAUUGGAGUCUAAUGAUUGAACAGUGUACUUUAAUUUUUUACUUUUCACGAAUUCACCUUCAAAGUAUGCAUUGUGUCAAAAUGUCAUUAUUUUGUUGAUCAAUAGAGAAAUAGUUACAACAUAUGUAUACAUUUCUUCUCAAAAUAAGAGGAAUUCAGUGGCACAAAAUCAUGCAGUAUUUUCAAGCAAAGAUUCUCUAAUGGAAUGUAAUAGUGUCUCCCUCCUGACUAGAAUAAAUAAUCCCAGAUCAACUAAUAAGUGUGGACAGUAGACCAGAGUCCUGAGGACAGUACUGUCCUUCAUGGUCACCCCUCCUAUUGGCACAGAAGUCUUUCAAUGUCUUCUCAGAAUGAAGCCAUGAAAACCACUGAGGAAGUGGCACUUCAGAUCGUGUUGCUUUGUCAGUUUGGAAUAGGGACUAUGGCUAACAUCCUUCUGUUUAUCCAUAAUUUCUCUCCACUUUUGACUGGAUGUCAACUGAGACCCAAACAAGUGAUUUGUACUAACAUGGCUGUGUCCAGCAUCUUAAUUCUAUUCAUGACUGUGUUCCCAAACAAUGUGUUUGUUGUUCAAAGGAAUCUAAUGAAUGACCUUCAAUGUAAACUUGAAUACUUCCUACGCAUGGUAGCAAGAAGCAUAAACUUGUGUUCCACCUGUGUCUUGAGCACCUAUCAGUUUGUCACUCUUCUUCCUGGCAAUUUUGGUGAGAUGAUGGUCAGAGGAAGAAGGUCCAAGGUCAUAAGCUAUUCCUGUUGUAGUUGUUGGUUGUUUGGUGUCUUAUAUAAUGUCUACAUUCCAAUGAAAGUCAGUGGUCCACAGAACACACAUAAUAAAACUGACAUUAAAAGUAAGUGGUUCUGUGUUACAUCUGGCUUCAGUGUAGGCAUUAUGUUCUUGUGGUUUGCCCAUGAUGCCAUAUUUAUCAGCAUCAUGAUCUGGACCAGUGUCUCCAUGGUACUUCUCUUGUAUAGACACUACCAGAGACUGCAGUACAUUUUCCCUCCCCAUCAAGGCACCAGGGGCUAUGCUGAGAUCAGAGCAGCCCAUAGCAUUGCUAUGCUUGUGGUCACAUUUGUAAGCUUUUAUCUUCUACACUGUAUUUGUUUUAUUCUUCACAUUGUUUUUGUAGACUCUCGUCUGUGGCUGAGGCAUGUAGGUGAAGUUUUAACUUCAAGCUUCCCCACUAUUUCUCCCUUGCUGUUGAUCUUUAGGGAUCCUAGUUAUCCUUGUUCUCUGAUAUUCAACUAUAGAAAGCCAGUCAUUUAAAAUACCAAGCACUUAAGACAGCUUAUUAACACUGUUGAAAAUUUCUACUGAAUAAAUAUAUGUUUAACAUG